GGAAGCUCUUGACGAGUGAUUUGAACGCGUCAGUACAGAGAGACGGAACUGCGAUUUUUGUUUCCACCAUGGUUUGCUGUGCUGCAUGGGGAUGCUCCAGCCGCUCGAAGAAAGGAGUACGAAUGUAAGGUUUCCCCACUGACACAGAGAAGAGAAAAAUGGUUAGCUCAAGUCAGCAGGAGCAAUUUUACUAUAGCUAAAGAUUACAACAACCAAAAAAAUAUGUGAGGGGUUUCCUGUUGUGUGGCCAUCUUUCCUCCUGUGUGUUGUUUGUUUGUAUCUGGUGUUGGGUCCAUCUGGCG